AGCGAACGCUGGCGGCAGGCCUAACACAUGCAAGUCGAGCGCCCGUAGCAAUACGGGAGCGGCAGACGGGUGAGUAACACGUGGGAACGUACCCUUCGGUUCGGAAUAACCCAGGGAAACUUGGAUUAAUACCGGAUACGUCCGUAAGGAGAAAGAUUUAUCGCCGAAGGAUCGGCCCGCGUCCGAUUAGCUUGUUGGUGGGGUAAUGGCCCACCAAGGCUACGAUCGGUAGCUGGUCUGAGAGGAUGAUCAGCCACACUGGGACUGAGACACGGCCUAGACUCCUACGGGAGGCAUCAGUGGGGAAUAUUGGACAAUGAGCGCAAGCCUGUUCCAGCCAUGCCGCGUGGGUGAUGAAGGCCCUAGGGUUGUAAAGCCCUUUCGGCGGGGAAGAUAAUGACGGUACCCGCAGAAGAAGCCCCGGCUAACUUCGUGCCAGCCGCCGCUGUAACAC
rnacentral:rRNA from 1 species